CCCCUAGAUGUUCUGGGCCGCACGCGCGCUACACUGAACAGUUCAACAAGUCUUAACCUUGGCCGAUAGGCCUGGGUAAUCUUUGAACGCUGUUCGUGAUUGGGAUAGACCUUUGCAAUUAUGGGUCUUCAACGAGGAAUUCCUAGUAAACGCAAGUCAUCAGCUUGCAUUGAUUACGUCCCUGCCCUUUGUACACACCGCCCGUCGCACCUACCGAUUGAAUGGUCCGGUGAAAUCUCGGGACGGCGGCUUGGUCGCUUGCGUCCGACUGCUGAAACUUGAUUAAACCAUNUNAUUUAGNGGAAGGUGAANUCGUANCA
rnacentral:rRNA from 1 species